rnacentral:lncRNA from 1 species
CGCCGCUCUAGGCCGCAGCCCGCGCCCCAGCUGCAUUUCCGCCCGCGCUGGGAGGGAGGGUGGGUUUCUUUUGGUUCCUGCCGCCUCCCCGAGCGGUCCCGAACCCUCCCGCACCGUGCCGCACCUUCUCCGCGUCGUUCCCUUUGACCCCCGCCGACAACAGUCCCGGCGCCCCGGGCCGUGCGAGCUCUGCGGCUGUCUUGGAAGCAGAUGGAGACUGUCCCUUGGACGGCUUUGCGGGCCGAGCCGCAGGCAGCACCCCUUUCUGCCCCGCAGGACCGUGGUCCGCAGCGCCAGAUGCCCCCCCACCCCCGUGUGCAGGGCUGAGGCCUGCUGGCUUGGAGAAAGAUGAGAUCACGUUGGAACCCGGACACUUGUGACCUCCUGCUCUGUGGCAUCCUCCUCGCUCUAGGAGUGCUGCCUCGGAGCUGGAGAUUGCUGGAGGAAGCCUGAGUGGACGGAGGCACUGGCCCUCUCAGGACGACCCAGGCCCCAGCUGCCCUGGAGGGACCUCCUCAUGGUGAGUUAAUGCCAAGGGGCUAAGUCGGCCUGUGUUUCUGAUACGGAAAUUCCAGGCUGCUGGCCUCAUUGGACCUUCUCCUUUAGAUUAUGUCGGGGUUGAUCGUGGACACUGGAGUAGCAUGAUGAAGAAUAAUGUUGCCAGGUGAAGCAUCGCCAGACCUUCUUACCCUGUUGCCUCAGCACAGCAUGGAAGCACUUUUCCCUCUGUGUAAGCAGGCCAGAGGGAAAGCCCUGGGACCCUGGAGGCUUGAGGUCCAGAGCUAGAGACUUCAGCUGUUUCUGCCACUCCCCCAGCAGGUGUCACCGAGCGCCGUGGACCAGGAAGACUGGUUCCCUUCCACCUGGCCAGGUUGUCCAGCAGCCUCACGUCUCCCAACCUACUCCUCCUGUAACGUUUUAGAACCAAGAGUUUUCUGCACAGUGCAUCCUUGUCCUCUCACCCACCCAAUAAAUCUUGAAACUGCCC